rnacentral:rRNA from 1 species
CCUACGGGUGGCAGCAGUGAGGAAUAUUGGUCAAUGGUCGGGAGACUGAACCAGCCAAGCCGCGUGAGGGAUGAAGGUACAGAGUAUCGUAAACCUCUUUUGUCAGGGAACAAAGGCGGGGACGUGUCCCCGGAUGAGUGUACCUGAAGAAAAAGCAACGGCUAACUCCGUGCCAGCAGCCGCGGUAAUACGGAGGAUGCGAGCGUUAUCCGGAUUUAUUGGGUUUAAAGGGUGCGUAGGCGGUCUGUUAAGUCAGCGGUAAAAGCCCGGGGCUCAACCCCGGCCCGCCGUUGAAACUGGCAGUCUCGAGUUGGAGAGAAGUAUGCGGAAUGCGCGGUGUAGCGGUGAAAUGCAUAGAUAUCGCGCAGAACUCCGAUUGCGAAGGCAGCAUGCCGGCUCCACACUGACGCUGAGGCACGAAAGCGUGGGUAUCGAACAGGAUUAGAUACCCUAGUAGUC